rnacentral:rRNA from 1 species
GACGAACGCUGGCGGCGUGCUUAACACAUGCAAGUCGGACGGAAAGGCCCUGCUUUUGUGGGGUGCUCGAGUGGCGAACGGGUGAGUAACACGUGAGUAACCUGCCCUUGACUUUGGGAUAACUUCAGGUAACUGGGGCUAAUACCGGAUAGGAGCUCCUGCUGCAUGGUGGGGGUUGGAAAGUUUCGGCGGUUGGGGAUGGACUCGCGGCUUAUCAGCUUGUUGGUGGGGUAGUGGCUUACCAAGGCUUUGACGGGUAGCCGGCCUGAGAGGGUGACCGGCCACAUUGGGACUGAGAUACGGCCCAGACUCCUACGGGAGGCAGCAGUGGGGAAUAUUGCACAAUGGGCGGAAGCCUGAUGCAGCAACGCCGCGUGCGGGAUGACGGCCUUCGGGUUGUAAACCGCUUUCGCCUGUGACGAAGCGUGAGUGACGGUAAUGGGUAAAGAAGCACCGGCUAACUACGUG